AUUGCUAGGGGCGCUUAUGCUGAGAUGUUUACCCUUUUACCUGAUCAGGUUAGUACCUGCGUAGGGAAGCAUAGACAA
rnacentral:ncRNA from 1 species